GCGAACGCUGGCGGCAGGCCUAAUACAUGCAAGUCGAGCGGUCCCUUCGGGGGCAGCGGCGGACGGGUGAGUAACGCGUGGGGACGUGCCCUUUGGUACGGAACAACUGAGGGAAACUUCAGCUAAUACCGUAUGUGCCCUUCGGGGGAAAGAUUUAUCGCCAUUGGAGCGGCCCGCGUUAGAUUAGCUAGUUGGUAGGGUAAAGGCCUACCAAGGCGACGAUCUAUAGCUGGUCCGAGAGGAUGAUCAGCCACACUGGGACUGAGACACGGCCCAGACUCCUACGGGAGGCAGCAGUAGGGAAUCUUGCGCAAUGGGCGAAAGCCUGACGCAGCCAUGCCGCGUGAAUGAUGAAGGUCUUAGGAUUGUAAAAUUCUUUCACCGGGGACGAUAAUGACGGUACCCGGAGAAGAAGCCCCGGCUAACUUCGUGCCAGCCGCCGCAGUAAUAC
rnacentral:rRNA from 1 species